UCCUAAUUGAGAUUGCCUCUCACUCUGCAG
rnacentral:piRNA from 1 species